rnacentral:rRNA from 1 species
GACGAACGCUGGCGGCGUGCCUAAUACAUGCAAGUCGAGCGAACAGAGAAGGAGCUUGCUCCUUUGACGUUAGCGGCGGACGGGUGAGUAACACGUGGGCAACCUACCUUAUAGUUUGGGAUAACUCCGGGAAACCGGGGCUAAUACCGAAUAAUCUAUUUCACCUCAUGGUGAAAUAUUGAAAGACGGUUUCGGCUGUCGCUAUAGGAUGGGCCCGCGGCGCAUUAGCUAGUUGGUGAGGUAACGGCUCACCAAGGCGACGAUGCGUAGCCGACCUGAGAGGGUGAUCGGCCACACUGGGACUGAGACACGGCCCAGACUCCUACGGGAGGCAGCAGUAGGGAAUCUUCCACAAUGGGCGAAAGCCUGAUGGAGCAACGCCGCGUGAGUGAAGAAGGAUUUCGGUUCGUAAAACUCUGUUGUAAGGGAAGAACAAGUACAGUAGUAACUGGCUGUACCUUGACGGUACCUUAUUAGAAAGCCACGGCUAACUACGUGCCAGCCGCCGCAGUAAGAC